rnacentral:rRNA from 1 species
AUUGAACGCUGGCGGCAGGCCUAACACAUGCAAGUCGAGCGGACGACGGGAGCUUGCUCCUUGAUUCAGCGGCGGACGGGUGAGUAAUGCCUAGGAAUCUGCCUGGUAGUGGGGGACAACGUUUCGAAAGGAACGCUAAUACCGCAUACGUCCUACGGGAGAAAGCAGGGGACCUUCGGGCCUUGCGCUAUCAGAUGAGCCUAGGUCGGAUUAGCUAGUUGGUGGGGUAAUGGCUCACCAAGGCGACGAUCCGUAACUGGUCUGAGAGGAUGAUCAGUCACACUGGAACUGAGACACGGUCCAGACUCCUACGGGAGGCAGCAGUGGGGAAUAUUGGACAAUGGGCGAAAGCCUGAUCCAGCCAUGCCGCGUGUGUGAAGAAGGUCUUCGGAUUGUAAAGCACUUUAAGUUGGGAGGAAGGGCAGUAAGCUAAUACCUUGCUGUUUUGACGUUACCGACAGAAUAAGCACCGGCUAACUCUGUGCCAGCCGCCGCUGUAA